AUUGAACGCUGGCGGCAGGCCUAACACAUGCAAGUCGAGCGGCAGCGGGUCCUUCGGGAUGCCGGCGAGCGGCGGACGGGUGAGUAAUGCCUAGGAAUCUGCCUGGUAGUGGGGGAUAACUCGGGGAAACUCGAGCUAAUACCGCAUACGUCCUACGGGAGAAAGCGGGGGAUCUUCGGACCUCGCGCUACCAGAUGAGCCUAGGUCGGAUUAGCUAGUUGGUGAGGUAAAGGCUCACCAAGGCGACGAUCCGUAGCUGGUCUGAGAGGAUGAUCAGCCACACUGGAACUGAGACACGGUCCAGACUCCUACGGGAGGCAGCAGUGGGGAAUAUUGGACAAUGGGCGAAAGCCUGAUCCAGCCAUGCCGCGUGUGUGAAGAAGGUCUUCGGAUUGUAAAGCACUUUAAGUUGGGAGGAAGGGCAGUAAGUUAAUACCUUGCUGUUUUGACGUUACCGACAGAAUAAGCACCGGCUAACUUCGUGCCAGCAGCCGCGGUAAUACGAAGGGUGCAAGCGUUAAUCGGAAUUACUGGGCGUAAAGCGCGCGUAGGUGGUUUGAUAAGUUGGAUGUGAAAGCCCCGGGCUCAACCUGAGAAUUGCAUCCAAAACUGUCUGACUAGAGUAUGGCAGAGGGUGGUGGAAUUUCCUGUGUAGCGGUGAAAUGCGUAGAUAUAGGAAGGAACACCAGUGGCGAAGGCGACCGCCUGGGCUAAUACUGACGCUGAGGUGCGAAAGCGUGGGGAGCAAACA
rnacentral:rRNA from 1 species